CAUAGGCUUCAAGCGUUGUCCGGAUUUAUUGGGCGUAAAGAGUUCGUAGGCGGUCGAGUAAGUCGGGUGUGAAAAUUCUGGGCUCAACCCAGAGACGCCACCCGAUACUGCUUAACUUGAGUUCGAUAGGGGAGUGGGGAAUUCCUAGUGGAGCGGUGAAAUGCGCAGAUAUUAGGAGGAACACCGGUGGCGAAGGCGCCACUCUGGAUCGAUACUGACGCUGAGAAACGAAAGCAUGGGUAGCAAACAGAAUUAGUUACCCUGGUAGUCCAUGCGGUAAACGGUGGGCGCAAGGUGUGGGUUUCUAUUAACGAAAUCCGCGCCGAAGCUAACGCAUUAAGUGCCCCGCCUGGGGAGUACGGUCGCAAGGCUA
rnacentral:rRNA from 1 species